rnacentral:rRNA from 1 species
CAGUGGCGGACGGGUGAGUACAAGCAAGGAACGUACCCCUUAUUGUGACAUAGCUCGUCGAAAGACGGGGUAAUAUCACAUGAGCCCGCAAGGGCAAAGCGCUUAACCGCGCGAUAAAGGAGCGGCCUUGUGACUAUCAGCUUGUUGGUAGGGUAAAAGCCUACCAAGGCGAUGACGGUUAGGGGGCGUGAGAGCGCGACCCCUCACAAUGGCACUGAGACACGGGCCAUACAUCUACGGAUGGCAGCAACUGGGAAUCGUUGGCAAUGGGCGAAAGCCUGACCACGCGACGCCGCGUGAGGGAUGAAGGCCUUCGGGUCGUAAACCUCUUUUGUCCCGCCGUCGAGGCGGGAAGAAUAAGCGCCUACAAACUACGUGCCAGCAGUCGCGGUAAUACGUAGGGCGCAAGCGUUAUCCGGAUUCACUGGGCGUAAAGGGUCGUGUACGUGGUUUAUCGCAUCGUGCUUGAAAGCCCGAGGCUUAACCUCGGCGUUGGGCACGAGAUGGAUAGACUUGAGGGUGGUAGAGGAAAGGGGAACUGACGGUGGAGCAGUGAAAUGCGUUGAUAUCGUCAGGAACACCAAAGGCGAAGGCACCUUUCUGGGCCACACCUGACACUCAGACACGAAAGCUAGGGGAGCGAAGCAGAUUAGAGACCUGCGUAGUCCUAGCCCUAAACGCAUGUCUGCUAGUUACUCCGACGCAAGUCGGAGCGACGUAAGCUAACGCGUUAAGCAGACCGCCUGGGGAGUACGAUCGCAAGAUUAAAACUCAAAGGAAUUGACGGGGACCCGCACAACCGGUGGAGCGUGUGGUUCAAUUCGAGACAAAGCGAAAGACCUUACCAGGGUUUGACACCCCUCUCUUUUAACAUCUUUUGGAAACAAGAGCUCUGGAUUCCCGCAAGGGAAAGAGGGGGACAGCUGCUGCAUGGCUGUCGUCAGCUCGUGCCGUGGGGUGUACCCUUAAGUGGGACAACGAGCGCAACCCGUAUCCGAUGUUACAAGUGUCAUCGGAGACCGCCC